UCCACGCCGUAAACGAUGUCGAUUUGGAGGUUGUGCCCUUGAGGCGUGGCUUCCGGAGCUAACGCGUUAAAUCGACCGCCUGGGGAGUACGGCCGCAAGGUUAAAACUCAAAUGAAUUGACGGGGGCCCGCACAAGCGGUGGAGCAUGUGGUUUAAUUCGAUGCAACGCGAAGAACCUUACCUGGUCUUGACAUCCACAGAACUUUCCAGAGAUGGAUUGGUGCCUUCGGGAACUGUGAGACAGGUGCUGCAUGGCUGUCGUCAGCUCGUGUUGUGAAAUGUUGGGUUAAGUCCCGCAACGAGCGCAACCC
rnacentral:rRNA from 1 species